CUUAGUUUAAGCAAGCUCUGGGAGUGGAAGGAUGGACUUAAAUUACAUGAUGACACCGAGUGGACUUCAGCACACCCUUCUGCAUUUUUCAGAGAUAACCUGGUAGUCAUCUGCAUUAGGGGAGAGGAGAGGGGAGGGGAGGAGAAGAAAGACACCUUUGAAUCUUAGUGAUAAGGCUCAGGAAGGCAGCACAAAGUUUCUUGGGGUCUGUAAGAAGUGAGACAGAUUUCCCUCUAAAUUUCCAAAAGGGAAAUGUAUGAAGAAACUUUAUUUCUAAGGCAUCCUAUCUAAAGUCACUUUGUUCAGAAGCAUAAAAAUGGUCAUUUAGUACGCAUGUUCCAAAAAGAAGGGGGGGGGGGGGGAGGCUGAACGAGGCCAGAAACUGGGUUCUGGGCCUGUUUCCUUCAUGAACUGUCAGCUUGACUCUGGGGUUAUUUUCUCUGGGUCCCUCUUUCUCCAUCUGUGAGUUUAAGAAUGUUGAGUCUUGAGGUUCUUUUAAACUCUGAACCUCUGGGAUUUUAGCCUUCGCCUGCCUCAGGCCUGCCCCUUUGAGCGAGAUCUCCAGCUGAGUGUCAUGCUUUUGUGCCCUCCCACAGAGGAGGUGGAGGCUGUUGAACUUUCCUGAAGGCGGAGGGGGUGGGGAUGCAGAGGCCCUGUGCUGCCCCCACUGGUCAGAUGUCUGUCUGCACUUGGAGUCUGUUCCAGCAGCGAUCCUGUGAUGUUUGUUGAGUCACACUGCUGUUCUGAACUCCUUAUUGUCCGCCCUUUCCCACGGACUCUCACAGCCCUUCCUCAUUUGGUUCAUUCUAAUCAUCCAGCUGUGUUAGUCAGGGUCCUCCAGAGAAACAGAAGACAGGACACACACACGAUCCAGAGAGUGUAAGGGAUUUAUUAUGAGGAAGGUCAAGAAGUCCCAAGUAGUGCUAUCUGCAAGCUGGAGACUCUGGAGAGCCACUCCGUUCAAGUCUCCAGGCUGAGAGCCAGGGGAUCCAAUGGGACAAAUCCCAGUUCAAGGGCAGAAGAAGCAGGUAACUCAACAGUGUUUACCUGGAAAUACUUUGGCGCUGCUAAUUAAAUAUGAAAGGAGAAGCUGAGCUUGUUCUGUUCAUUAGCAUUGUCCAAAGGACUGUCAGUAUUGCUUCAUCAUUAUAGGUAUUUGGUGCCCAGUGAAAAAAAUUUACCAAGUUUAUAAUAUGUUCUUCCUUUUUGGCUUCUUAGUUUUGUGUGUGUUUUUGUUUUUAGAAAACAGGGGAUACACCUUUUAGAUCAUUGAGCCCCGCACAGGCUCAGCAAGUGCCAUUAAUUGGAAUGACCAAUCGAGAGGGAAGGGGUGACCUGCCCUCCCAUCUGUCAGGCAUUGGGCAUAUUGAGACUACAGUGAAGUGCUCAGGCCUUCCUUUGUUGCCUGUCCUCCCACUGGAAGGACCUAUCCUUUUCUUGGCUUUAUUAAUACUCAUUUACUACUUUUUGUUUUCUGCCUUAUUUGCAUUUUUCUCAUUUUUGUAUGUGUCUGGCAGACACGUAACUUCUAUACAUUCUUAAAUUCACAAGCACAGUAACAACUAUAUAUCUCACAUUACGUAAAGUGUAACUGAAAAAGAUUUUAAGAGACUACUUCAGAACUUUAGUGAUUGUAAAAGGACUAAAACCAUGAAAUUAUUAAUUUAUGUUAAAUUAAUAUAAAUAAAUAAACUGAAACCAACUGCAUCACGAAAGGCUUUAUUGCACUGUCAUUAUGCAGACAAGAACUUCUUCUUCUGACCCUUUAACACCCCAUGGUUGGCAAAAUCAUAAUACUGGUGAGACUCGAUCCUGAGACCUGCCACACAGAAGAGUCAUCUGGUCCUUGGCCAGCUUCAGCUUUGAUGUUGGCCACUCCUUCUUGGAUAAGUCAGUUGACAAACUUGACAAGGGGUGUUGUGGUGCUUCCUGUCUGUCCCUCACCAUCCACCUCCUCACCUCCCACUGCCUCCAGCCUGCCUGAGGCUCUCAUCACCCUCUGCCACCCACCUCUAGGUAAGCUCACUGCAGCCUCCCAAAUCCUCUCCUGCUCUGAUAGCUGCUGUCCACGCUGAAGACAGGGUUUUAGUUUUUAAAUGACACCUGAUUUUGUCACCUCCCCUUCUUAGAGCUUCUCAAUGACUUCUCGUUGCCUGAAGGAUAAAGAUGAGAAUUUCUGAAGAGGCCUGAGCUGUGUGUGCCCGCCCUGCACUCUCCACCUGCCCUUUCUCCUUUGGUCCUGGACUCACCUGCUCCCUCCUCUCUGGGAAGUUCAGACACAUGGUCCUGCCCCUCACUCAGCCUCUUGGUGGCUGUACACCAAGUAUGUCAAACUUGUGGCUUGUGGGCCACAGCCUCAUUUAUUUGGCCUAUGUUAACCUUUGAGUUUGACAUGCUUCUUAGAGCACUGGUUUUCACUUGAGUUGUAAUCCUGGAGAGUUUCUUCUAAGCGAUUGUUUCUUCUAAGCGAUUGUCAGGAGCCCUGACAUGGGCUCAAGGUGAAGCCUGGCAUAUUUGUUCUGUAGUACAUGGCAAUGUGUGGUGUGUGUUAAGUACAUAAUAAUGCAAAUGGCACAUUAUUUUCCCAAGUUCACAUAGGGGGAGUAAUCACUAGGCAUAUUGUCUCUGUAUCAUGUAUCAUCAUCUGUUUUUUGUCUAACAAAGCUGUGUGCAUAAGGUCACAAUCACCAUUUUCUUUUUUAAACUAUUCACACAUAUGCAUAUAUAUUUCUCUGGAUGGCAAGAUUAUGGGUGAUUUAGGUGAUUUUUAUUUUCUUUUUGUGCUUUACGAUUUUUCUAUAAUGUAGAUGGAUAACUUUUAUAAAUAGUAGAGGGGAAAAAAGUAAAUUUGUUUAGCACUAGAUAUGUUUAUAUAAUACAAAAGGGAGAGAAACAGGUUUCAAAACAGAAUAAUUGUCAACAUUUCUAAAGUGUUAUUUGCAUUUACGUCUUCCAUUAUUGGGAGGAAUUAAAACAGGACUGCAGUCAGUUGUGCAAGAGAGAAUUGUUUUCUUUGGCUAUUGGAUACUUAGCUCAAGGGCAGGUGAAUUUGAUCUGAGGAAAUAAUGAAACUCAAUUUAAGAAAGUUUUUACCCCUGAAAAAGUAUUUAGGAUGAUAUAACCAAGUACUUUCUUUUUAUUUGGCUGAGAACUCCUUCCCUUGCCUUCACCCAUAUCCAUGACUGGGCCCAUGUGUCAGUCUCCCCUUCCUGCAUCAUGACCAUCCUUGGGUCUUACCAAUUAAAGCAGCUAAGAGCACUGAAAUGCUUUGAUUACACAACUGGCUCUUUCCAACCCUUCCCUGUGUGAACUCCUUCCUCUUUGCUUCUGCUUCCUAUCAGUGACAUGUCCCUAUGGCAGCAUCUUGAGCAAGUCACUGUGAUACCUGCUUGCUUCACUUUUCCUUUUGACCAAAAGGUAAGUUCUGCAAGAGGCAGUGGACUCACUUACCUGCCCAUCAUGCUGUCCCCUCUCUGUACUUGGCAGGUAUAUAGUGUACUUUUCAGAGAUGAAUUACAUCUAAGGUAAUGGUGUAGGUUCACACUUAGACCUACAAGGUCAAAGAGACGGGACUCAAGAAAAAUAGAUUAAAGACUGAGAAGAGCAAUUUUGAGAGCUUUAGGGAAAAGAGGACAUUUGCCAAAGGAUUGAAAAUAUCUGCCUAAUGCUGUUAUUGCCAUUUGAAUAACCUGGAGAAAUGAACACCAUUGGAGAAGGGUUCUACCAUACUUUCAACAAUGCAUUUAAAUACAAAGGAGUAUAUUGUUUUCAUCCACAUUAUGGAUGAGUUAUACUCACGUGUUGUCAUCUGUGACUUCUGGAAUAACCUAUUUAUUUAACCAAAUAAACUGGCCAUUUCCUUGAUCUCAUUUGCUUGGAAAAAUAUUUACUUAUUUUUAUGUC